UCUCCGUUGGUGAACCAGCGGAGGGAUCAUUACCGAGUUUAUCUACUCCCAAACCCCUGUGAAAUUAUACCUUUACUGUUGCUUCGGCGGGUGAACGCCCCGUAAGGCGCAAAAAGCCCCCGGAGCCAGGCGCGCGCCGGGGGAACCAAACUCUUGUAUGUCUUACUUUGCAUGUCUUCGUGGAAACAUAAACAAAUGAAUCAAAACUUUCAACAACGGAUCUCGUGGUUCUG
rnacentral:misc_RNA from 1 species